rnacentral:lncRNA from 1 species
AGAGAUUCCGUUUGCCCCGCCCCCUCAUUAGCUGUGUGAACUCAGGCAAUUUGCUUAAUUCUCUGAACUUUGGAGUCAUCUGUUGCAAAAUAGGGAUACUUAUAACCAACUUCUAAAAUUGCUAAUAUAUAUGAAGCACUGGACAUUCUGUCUUCACAUAGUAGGUACUCAACUAAUGGCAGCUUUUGUAAAGCCUAGAGCAGCUCUCAGCACACAAAUAACAACUAAACUGCUGACGCAUUGAUAAAUGGCUAUCUCUUGGGCAUGUCUACUCAAAAUGCUGAGAAUUUACAUAGUGUCAUCAGUAUGACCUGGCCAGUCACCUCAGUUGAGAUGAAUCAUUCUGCAUAUGAGUAUAUGAAUAUGAUAACAUGCCGACAUCAGCACUUGGAAUUUAAAAAUACAGACAAAAUCUUAAUCAAAUACGCUAGUACUAAUAGAAAAUUCAGAUGUACGACAAAGAAGUAUUAGAGGCAUUUUUCAGUGUAUGUGUUGCUGACAUGCCAGUUUCAUCAGUGAGAUGUGGUUAUCAGGCAUUUCCAAGGCAGCCAAGCAUAAUCCUCAAUGCCAUAACUCUUCGCUUUGAUAACUCCUUCUCCCACUUGUCUGCAAAGUGCUGCUUUACUGGCCUCAUCCCAGCAUCCACUGUAUCCCGCGGACGUGUCUCCUUCCUCUGAAUGUCAACGGAUUCAGUGCCUUCACCACUCACUUUGGGCUGAGAAUAUCUAAAGCUCACAGUACUAAUUAUGUCACUAUCAAGAGAAGCCUUAACCAAUCAGCCAAGUUUCCAGCAAGCAAUUUCUAGGAACUGCACGGUUCAAUUUGCAUAGAGACAAAAAGAAUGAAGAAAGACAAUUUGGAGAAGAACUGUUUUCAGCAAUAAUCCUACAUAUGAGAGUUUGGUGGACAAUGUACCUGCUCAAUUUGCUUCUUAAAAAUUCUCUCUGCUGAUUCAGCUGCAUCAGAGUGGAAGUUAGUAAACAACAGCAUGACGGUCCUCCUUGGAGACUCUUCCUGCUUGCAAAAGUUACACAAAAUAUUUUUCAAUACUUUGUAAUAAAGUGGGAUACAGGCAGAGCAAAUUCCCACAAUUCGUCAAAUAUAGUCAUUAAAAUUGUAAUAAGAUCUUGAGAUUUCCC